GGAUGGGUGGCCGAGUGGUCUAAGGCGGCGGUCUUGAAAACCGCUGUACGGGAAACCGUACCGGGGGUUCGAAUCCCUCCCCAUCCG
rnacentral:tRNA from 1 species